rnacentral:lncRNA from 1 species
CGGCGUUUCCUCUCGCGGAUUAAACUCCAUUGUCCAUGGGAAAGUUCUAAUGAAGAACUCGCUUCCUUUAGAUCGUAUAUAGCCAUUUGUUCUUGACACCACUUGAGCAAAAUCUUCAAACAAAUCAAAUCUUACAAGAAUGUGACGAUAUUCUAACUGACCUAUGUUAUAACUUCCUUUGACACCAAAUUGAUUCGGAAGAAUCUGUCUCAACUCUUGAAGAUUUGGCUUUUCAUAUGAAAAUUUUAUUAUCACAGCUUGUUGAAGGCCUUCCUCCUUUGUGAAUGAAUUAACUUCAUCC